UCCUGACCGGGUUUUGCCAUGUUUGCCAGGCUGCCACCGCACCCGGCCCUCAGAAUUAUUUAGAGUUAGAAUUCUUAGUCUACUAGUCAAGUUUCAAUCAAGAGACACUGUAUCAGUUAUUUCAAGAGAGAAUUUAAUAUAAAUAAUUGUUAUCCAGCUAGUAGAGAUUUAAAAAAAAGUAGUGAUAAUGAGAUAUCAUGAAGAUUUUGACUGCAAGCUCCCAGCCCAAGGACUCAUACAACAAAGAAAAGAGGUUGAAAAUAUCAAAACUCAGAAAUAUGAAGGUGGCCCUAGGGCUGGGGGUUAGUCCUCUGAGGAGGAGGCACCAUCAAUGGUACACGUGGCCCAAGGGCUCAGAGCUCAAGGUCCAGGAGCUGGACGCAGAAUUCUGGAGAGGGGACAUGGCCAGCCCGUGCUGCUGUCUCUGAAUGGGCAUCAUCAGGCUGGUUAUAGGAGUGCUAGGAAAAUGGCAAGCUGGAACCAACUCCCGCUACUGGAACCAGCUGUCACUCUCAGGGUGGAGACAGGAUGCUGACAGUGGGGGUGGGGUGGGGUGCACACAGGAAGGAGCCCGUGGUGGCCCUGCACCCCAGAGCUGGGAAGGGUGGGCUGGAAGCUUAAUUACCUGCACACUCAGCUUUAGAGUUACAUAGAGUUAUGUUAGGAUUCCAUUAGUUUUGGAAUUGUCAGGGGUGAUUUGAUUUCACAUUUUCAUGGGAUAUGGGAUUGGGAUGAGUCUUCAGUCUCCUGGUUUGUUUCUGGAAUAGAGUGGGCCACACCUCCCAGGAGUCUCCCCCAGGGGACUCAAGACAAUCACUUUAGAAUUCAAGAAAACAAAAAUAGUGUGUCUCACUUUGUUCAUAAAGAAGCCCUUUGACAACGUGGCCAAAAAGGGGCAGAGCCUAAGGGACAGACUCUUAGAAAGAUGCCCUUGGAACAGGGUCCCGCAGAGUGUUCCUCUCAAAUUCUUUAGAACUUUACGCUGUUUUGUGGGGCCACCCUCUCCCACGCCCUUUCCUAACAACACAGUGUCUUUCUUGAUAGAGUGUGUUUCAAAUUUGUAGACUGUUUGCACAAUAAAAUAAAGUUCCUCCCA
rnacentral:lncRNA from 1 species